UUAUGAUUAUAAUGAUGACGAUGGUGAUGAUGAUGAUGUUGAUGAUGAUGAUGAUCAUCAUCAUCAUCAUCAUCACCAUCAUCUAAGAUG
rnacentral:pre_miRNA from 1 species